rnacentral:rRNA from 1 species
UAGUGGCGCACGGGUGCGUAACGCGUGGGAACCUGCCUUUAGGUUCGGAAUAACGCCUCGAAAGGGGUGCUAAUACCGAAUAAUGUCUUCGGACCAAAGAUUUAUCGCCUUUAGAUGGGCCCGCGUUGGAUUAGCUAGUUGGUGGGGUAAAGGCCUACCAAGGCGACGAUCCAUAGCUGGUCUUAGAGGAUGAUCAGCCACACUGGGACUGAGACACGGCCCAGACUCCUACGGGAGGCAGCAGUGGGGAAUAUUGGACAAUGGGCGAAAGCCUGAUCCAGCAAUGCCGCGUGAGUGAUGAAGGCCUUAGGGUUGUAAAGCUCUUUUACCCGGGAUGAUAAUGACAGUACCGGGAGAAUAAGCUCCGGCUAACUCCGUGCAAGCAGCCGCGGUAAUACGGAGGGAGCUAGCGUUGUUCGGAAAUACUGGGCGUAAAGCGCACGUAGGCGGCGCAGCAAGUCAGGGGUGAAAUCCCGGGGCUCAACCUCGGAACUGCCCUUGAAACUGCAGUGCUAGAAUCUUGGAGAGGCGAGUGGAAUUCCGAGUGUAGAGGUGAAAUUCGUAGAUAUUCGGAAGAACACCAGUGGCGAAGGCG